ACGGAAGGCAGCAGUGGGGAAUAUUGCACAAUGGGGGAAACCCUGAUGCAGCGACGCCGCGUGAGUGAAGAAGUGUUUCGGUAUGUAAAGCUCUAUCAGCAGGGAAGAAAACAAUGACGGUACCUGACUAAGAAGCCCCGGCUAACUACGUGCCAGCAGCCGCGGUAAUACGUAGGGGGCAAGCGUUAUCCGGAUUUACUGGGUGUAAAGGGAGCGUAGACGGUGAGGCAAGUCUGAAGUGAAAGCCCGGGGCUCAACCCCGGGACUGCUUUGGAAACUGUCUGACUAGAGUGCAGGAGAGGUAAGUGGAAUUCCUAGUGUAGCGGUGAAAUGCGUAGAUAUUAGGAGGAACACCGGUGGCGAAGGCGGCUUUCUGGACUGUAACUGACACUGAGGCACGAAAGUGUGGGGAGCAAACAGGAUUAGAUACCCUGGUA
rnacentral:rRNA from 1 species